rnacentral:lncRNA from 1 species
UUUUGUAUGACUUUUCAUGAACAAUUGCAUGCUCCCCUUAUGAUACAUAUUCGUUCAAGUGAUCAUAAGUCCCUUGAUCACUUGAUUGAAUUAAACCUUUAAACUUGCACUUCCACUUGAUCCAUCAAGCCAAUAUCAAGUCAAGACUCACAUUCAAGACCUUGGAGAUAGGAAUACAUCAAGACUUGGUCAUGCUGCGCUUUGUCCAUUCAAGCACACUUUGUCUCAUCCUCUUCAAAACAAAAACUCUUUUUUUUUUAAUUUCAAAACGCUAUUUAAUUAUGAUGUGAAUUGUGCGUCACAAACCUUAAGAAACGGAGAAGAAUGAGAAUGAUCACUCCUACCCUUGUUUUGAAUACCUUUGAAUACGAAACGUAAGCCUCAAAUAUUCAAAGUAUUUGUCUCCGUUCAUAGACUUUAGUGCAAUUCAAAUCAAAAUAACCUUCAACUUUCAUUCAUCCUCAGACAAUACUUCAAACAAUCCACAUCAACCACACCAUUCUCUUUGGACUAAAACACUAUACUCUUUUGAUACAUAUACGACUCUUGAGGUUAAUCACCUUCUCCUGGUUAAUCACCUCCCACAUACGUUAAUCAUAUUUUCAUGGUUAAACACUCAUCUCUAAACCAUACCCCUCUCUUUGGGAUAAUCACCUUCUCAUGGUUAAAUCCCUCUUCAUGCAUGUUUGCCUUGUUAGUCUCAUGUUUAGGAAAACCCCUCGAUGCAUGUUUGCCUUGUUAGUCUCAUGCUUAGGAAAACCCCACUAUCGUACCUCAAAAAAUGAGAAUGCGACUUAGCGAAGUGCAAUCGUACACUCGUAUGAUGAACUGAACAGAGUUGCCACCGAACUUUAU